GGCUUCCCAGUAGUCCGGGAAACCAGCAGCGGCGGGGCUGAAGGGGUUAGCGGGCACGCACGGCGGGGGUGCGGGUGCCGGGGGGGGGGGGAGGCCCCGCCCUCUCGGACCGGGAGGCCCGGGCAAUCCAGCCCGCGAGCAGUUCCGGUGCCAGAGCCUUCCCUCCCCCGCUCCCCCGGAAGUGCUUUUCCAGGGUUCGGGCCGGAGAGAGGCCUUGCGGACCCAGCCGCUGACGCUCCGUCGGCUCCGAAUAGGGGCUCCAGCCCGGGUCCGAGCGAGGAGGUCCGCGCCCGCCUACCCGCAGCCUGCGCCCUCCCAGCGUCCGGCCUGACGAAAUGGCCAUUAAGAAGUAGAUGUCCAGAUGCAAAGGGUUUUGAAACAGUCCAUUUGUCGUAAAGUAAGAUGCAGCUGUGGCUUUUCAACCAGAUUAGUAAGUGUAACCAAAUCUUUUAACUAUAAUUUUAUCUGUUGUUUUGGAGAACAUAUAAUAAAAAUACGGUGGAUAUUAGAAAAGUGUCACCUUAUAUUUUUUAGUUUGUAGUUCAAAUUCUAGAGUACAGCAAUAGAAUGUAUGUCUGUACUGUACCUUUUUAGGAAUCUUGAAGAUAGUAAUAGUAAAUCACAGAUACAGAGAAAAUACCACUAUCCGAAUAUUGCUACUCUUACAAUUUUGUAGGCUGGGCGUGGUGGCGCAUGCCUGUAAUCCCAGCACUUGGGAGGCUGAGGAAGGAGGAUCAUGGUGAAUUCAAGGUCAGCCUGGACUACAUAGCAAGACCCUAUCUGGAAAAAUUUUUUUUUAAUAUAUAUUUUUUCUUCAGUCCUUGUUCUACGUAUUUUAA
rnacentral:lncRNA from 1 species